rnacentral:rRNA from 1 species
GAUGAACGCUGGCGGCGUGCCUAAUACAUGCAAGUCGAGCGAACGGACGAGAAGCUUGCUUCUCUGAUGUUAGCGGCGGACGGGUGAGUAACACGUGGAUAACCUACCUAUAAGACUGGGAUACUUCGGGAAACCGGAGCUAAUACCGGAUGAUAUUUUGAACCGCAUGGUUCAAAAGUGAAAGACGGUCUUGCUGUCACUUAUAGAUGGAUCCGCGCUGCAUUAGCUAGUUGGUAAGGUAACGGCUUACCAAGGCAACGAUGCAUAGCCGACCUGAGAGGGUGAUCGGCCACACUGGAACUGAGACACGGUCCAGACUCCUACGGGAGGCAGCAGUAGGGAAUCUUCCGCAAUGGGCGAAAGCCUGACGGAGCAACGCCGCGUGAGUGAUGAAGGUAUUCGGAUCGUAAAACUCUGUUAUUAGGGAAGAACAUAUGUGUAAGUAACUGUGCACAUCUUGACGGUACCUAAUCAGAAAGCCACGGCUAACUACGUG